UACGAAGGGGGGCUAGCGUUGCUCGGAAUCACUGGGCGUAAAGCGCACGUAGGCGGAUUGCUAAGUCAGGGGUGAAAUCCUGGAGCUCAACUCCAGAACUGCCUUUGAUACUGGCGAUCUCGAGUCCGGGAGAGGUGAGUGGAACUGCGAGUGUAGAGGUGAAAUUCGUAGAUAUUCGCAAGAACACCAGUGGCGAAGGCGGCUCACUGGCCUGGUACUGACGCUGAGGUGCGAAAGCGUGGGGAGCAAACAGG
rnacentral:rRNA from 1 species